GCGAAGCGCUGCCUCUGGCCACAGCGUGCGGCGAAGCGCUGCCUUGGGCUGCCCGGUCUCGGCGCGCACGAACGGCCGAGGGCGCUCCGGCGCGCUGAGCGACGCGGCCUCUCGCCGGGC
rnacentral:SRP_RNA from 1 species